rnacentral:rRNA from 1 species
GAUGAACGCUGGCGGCGUGCUUAACACAUGCAAGUCGAACGAUGAAGCAGAGCUUGCUCUGUGGAUUAGUGGCGAACGGGUGAGUAACACGUGAGUAACCUGCCCUUGACUCUGGGAUAAGCACUGGAAACGGUGUCUAAUACCGGAUACGAGCUUCAGCCGCAUGGCUAGGAGCUGGAAAGAAUUUCGGUCAAGGAUGGACUCGCGGCCUAUCAGCUAGUUGGUGAGGUAAUGGCCCACCAAGGCGACGACGGGUAGCCGGCCUGAGAGGGUGACCGGCCACACUGGGACUGAGACACGGCCCAGACUCCUACGGGAGGCAGCAGUGGGGAAUAUUGCACAAUGGGCGAAAGCCUGAUGCAGCAACGCCGCGUGAGGGACGACG